rnacentral:rRNA from 1 species
CCCCGCACAAGCAGCGGAGCGUGUGGUUUAAUUCGAUGCUACACGAAGAACCGUUACCAGGGUUUGACAUGCUAGUGGUAGGAAACCGAAAGGUGACCGACCCUUCGGGGAGCUAGCACAGGUGCUGCAUGGCUGUCGUCAGCUCGUGUCGUGAGAUGUUCGGUUAAGUCCGCUAACGAGCGCAACCCUCGUCGUAUGUUAUAUGUGUCAUACGAGACUGCCGGUAAAAGCCGGAGGAAGGUGAGGAUGAUGUCAAGUCAGCAUGACCUUUAUAUCCAGGGCUACACACACGCUACAAUGGUCUGUACAAUGGGUAGCCAAGCCGCGAGGCGGAGCCAAUCCUGAAAGCAGGCCUCAGUUCAGAUUGCAGUCUGCAACUCGACUGCAUGAAGCCGGAGUUGCUAGUAACCGCAGGUCAGCAAUACUGCGGUGAAUACGUUCCCGGGUCUU